rnacentral:tRNA from 1 species
CCUCUCGUCGUUCAAUGGAUAGGAUGUCUCCCUCCGAAGGAGACGAUGCCAGUUCGAUUCUGGCCGAGAGGA